GAUGAACGCUGGCGGCGUGCCUAUACAUGCAAGUCGAGCGAACGGACGAGAAGCUUGCUUCUCUGAUGUUAGCGGCGGACGGGUGAGUAACACGUGGAUAACCUACCUAUAAGACUGGGAUAACUUCGGGAAACCGGAGCUAAUACCGGAUGAUAUUUUGAACCGCAUGGUUCAAAAGUGAAAGACGGUCUUGCUGUCACUUAUAGAUGGAUCCGCGCUGCAUUAGCUAGUUGGUAAGGUAACGGCUUACCAAGGCAACGAUGCAUAGCCGACCUGAGAGGGUGAUCGGCCACACUGGAACUGAGACACGGUCCAGACUCCUACGGGAGGCAGCAGUAGGGAAUCUUCCGCAAUGGGCGAAAGCCUGACGGAGCAACGCCGCGUGAGUGAUGAAGGUCUUCGGAUCGUAAAACUCUGCUAUUAGGGAAGAACAUAUGUGUAAGUAACUGUGCACAUCUUGACGGUACCUAAUCAGAAAGCCACGGCUAACUACGUG
rnacentral:rRNA from 1 species